rnacentral:rRNA from 1 species
AGCAGCCGCGGUAAUUCCAGCUCCAAUAGCGUAUAUUAAAGUUGUUGCAGUUAAAAGCUCGUAGUUGAAUUUCGGGGUUAGUAGGUUGGUCGUGCCACUGGUACGUACUGGUCUCACUGACUCCUCCUUCCUGAUGAACCGUAAUGCCAUUAAUUUGGUGUUGCGGGGAGACUGGACUGUUACUUUGAAAAAUUAGAGUGUUUAAAGCAGGCUAACGCUUGAAUACAUUAGCAUGGAAUAAUGAAAUAGGACGUUCGAUCUUAUUUUGUUGGUUUCUAAGAUUGACGUAAUGAUUAAUAGGGAUAGUUGGGGCAUUAGUAUUCAAUUGUCAGAGGUGAAAUUCUUGGAUUUAUGAAGACUAACUACUGCGAAAGCAAUUUGCCAAGGAUGUUUCAUUAACCAAGAACGAAAGUUAGAGGAUCGAAGCGAUUAGAUACGCCUAGUCUAACCAUAAACGAU